UGCCUGUUUGCUCAGUUGGUUAGAGCGUGGUGCUAGUAACGCCAAGGUCGUGGGUUCAAUUCCCACACGGGCCA
rnacentral:tRNA from 1 species